AAAUAUAACAUGUUUAUUUAAUGAUUGUAGGCCUUUGGUGAUCGCUGUCAUGUGAGCUCUGUGGUGGGCUGGGGUGCAUUUCCCAUCUGUGUUUGCUCCCACCAACUCUCAGUGGCACGUUCAAGACCCCUCUCUUGCGUGGCAGACCGAACCCCUCACUCAACUAGUUCUGCAAGAUUGUGCAAAUAAAUACAACUGGCUAUGGCUACCUCUACUUCCAGGUGAAAAGACUCCCGCGAGGCAGCACCAGGGUGCCUGAGUGUAGCUUCACCCUUCAGAUCCCUUCUCACCCUCAAGUAAGUUCCAGCCAGAGGCUUCCUCCCCACCCGGACACCUCCACACGCUCAUCUGCUUCUCUGGCAGGUAGGACUUCUGCACCCACCUCACCCCAAACAGGAAGAAAUGCCAGUGAUUUCUUGGCAGCUGCCUGUUAGAAUCUGGUGGGGCAUUCAUGCAGGGAAAAUGAACCUUCCCCAUUCAAACUAAAGCAUGUCCAAUUUGUGCAGCACAAUACGUGCCAUUUAGGCCAAAUUGUUUUCACUGUAAACGAAGCUCACUAACAUAAAACGCUCAGCUUUAUACAUGAUUGACAAUUCUCACUGAAUGCUAUCAUCAUCAUCAUCCAUAGCUGCGUUAGCAAAUGGUAUAUAUUUCCUCUAAUCAAAACUCUCACCCAGAAGCCAGCUCACAUUGUUGUGUUGAACCAUGAGCAAUCAACAUAAGCGGGAUGGGGUCAUAGCGAGAUCACUAAAAGGGCUCAUUCACUUGUGUGUGUCUCCAUUAGUUUAUUGAUUUUUUUUCUAGUGCGUUCAUCGUUUGCCAGUUGUUUGGGAAAUAGCAUAUGAGUCUGGAAACGGAACACAUAGAGAUUAAAGCUUUCAAAACACGUGGCAUGUGUUUGUGUACUGAACACUGUACUGAAGAUCUUCAUAGUCACAUUGAAACAAAUGAAGCAAGUUAGGCAUUGUUUGCAUAUUACGUCACUUGGGCUCCUUUGUUGUGUUGUCUGCCUAUUGUCUUUAAAUGAUGCCAUCUUUGUUGGCUUAUUUUGUUUAUAAAUGAUUUAGACAGCAUGUAUAUGCCUCAUUCUUUUGAUGGUGUUUCAAUACUUUGGUCAUAAGCUCCCACAUUUUCAAACAACUUGAAGCAUUAAACUUUUUUUUGCUUUAGCCAUAUUACAUCUUAAAUUGUGUGACUUGAGGAGAGUCAUGCAUUUACUUUAAUAAGCAUUUAGAUGAAGGUGGUCUCUGAACCUUAUUUAGAAAUCUAGACACAAGAAGGACUCUUCAAUGGCCUAGCAACCACCCAGAACACCUUAGCAAUUACAAACAAUCUCUCUAAAACCACUCAGAAGAAAAUUAACAAAUGCAAAGUAAGCCACUGAAAACCACUCAGAAUUCUGAGAUAGUAAGGAAUUUAGGAAUGUCCUGGCAGCCACCUACAACACUUUGGAAACUGCAUAGGGAG